rnacentral:lncRNA from 1 species
AAAAGUCAAAUAAGAACAAAGAAAACAAGAUCAGAAAACACAAAGCUCCUCCCCCACACUUAAACAACACAGUCCCGUGUGUUAUAGAAGCGUGUGAGAGAAGUAAAAAGACAAACUAAACGAAUGCAGAAUGAUAUACACAAGAUGCAUAUGUACAGGGUUUGAAGUCGAUACCUUAGUCGGAGAGGUCUGAUCCCAAGUAGUACGAGGGAUUUGAUGUUGAGCAGGAGGGUGUGGAUUGACGUGGUGGGCUGCUAUCCGAGGGUUCAGGUAAGAAUGCCGAGGCAGGGUCGAUCCAAUCCUCUUUGCCUGGUGGAAACUCCGGGUUCCUUGCGUUUGAGCUUUCCCCAACCUCCUCUUGUGUAACCGGUGCGGUUGAGGUCGCUGAGUUCUUGUCCGGAGAAGAUGGCCGUGUGAGCUGCUUUACCUUCUUCUUCAGGUGCCUUACACAGUCCACCAAAGCAUGAAUGGUCUUGUCUUGCCACUUACACCACUUUUG